CGGCGGGGGGCGGGGGGUGGCGGGAGGUGGAGCCCCCUUCUCACCCGACGCCCCUGCCCGCCUCGCCUCCCGCGUGCUCCCUGGGCAAACCGCCGCGCCUGAGCUCAGGCCCCGCUGGUGCCUGCAUGGCCACCCCUGCCCCCGCUGCCAUCCAGACGCCCGCUGGCACGAAUGCCUGCAGGCCCUGAGACGACCUCUGCCCCCGACGCGGGGACGUGGGGCCCAGACUGGCGGCGCUCGUGGGCCCUGUGAUCUGUCCAACCUGGAGAAAGAAGCACUGGCUGGGGCCAUCCUGCUGGACCUCACCUGACCCAAGAGCCAGACUGCGCAGCUAAUCAGGGCAGCCCCUGCCAUGACGUCCUGAUGGGGACUCAGCUGACUGUGUUAGGGCCGAGCGGCUGCAGUUUUGGCUGUUGCUGUCCUCGCAGUGGGAAUUUUAAUAAGACUCUUCACUGACCAUGGCUGAAAUGGAAUCAUCCCAGCCCCAAACUACCAGUGAGAACAAUAUGCCACACGUGCCGCAUGGGAGGUGAGCUCUUCACCUGGACCGUGGCUUCGGUCCCAGCCGAGCAGGAAAGGGAUGCCAGCUUCAUGUUCUUAUUCUGAAGAUUCACAUGAUCAUCCUGGACAUCAAGAAAAGCAUUACAAUUUUAAGUGAACUUUUCUCCCAAAUGUUAACUCUUAUCGUGGUUUUUAAGUCUGCACGUUGGUGUCCCUGGCUGGCUGUGUUCUUUAUCCCACCUUACAUUUAACACCUUCUGUCUUCCAGGAGAGCAGGUCCUCUAGCAGUAACUGCUGGCCACGGUGUGUGUGUGGCACUCUUGUGUGUCCAGUCUCAUGUGUGAGUGUGCAUGAAGUCCUGUCUCGGGCAGUGCCAUGCAAGCUUUUAAAAAAUAAACAUUUAAAAAUACAUGCUCAGACUAAGUGGUAACUUGUAGCUUACUGC
ensembl:lncRNA